GAUCAGUCGGCUACGAGGACGAACGCUGGCGGCGUGCUUAACACAUGCAAGUCGAACGAUGAAAGCGGGAGCUUGCUCCUGCUGGAUUAGUGGCGAACGGGUGAGUAACACGUGAGCAAUCUGCCCCGAACUCUGGGAUAAGCGUUGGAAACGACGUCUAAUACCGGAUACGACGCGCGAAGGCAUCUUCUGCGCGUGGAAAGAAUUUCGGUUCGGGAUGAGCUCGCGGCCUAUCAGCUAGUUGGUGAGGUAAUGGCUCACCAAGGCGACGACGGGUAGCCGGCCUGAGAGGGUGACCGGCCACACUGGGACUGAGACACGGCCCAGACUCCUACGGGAGGCAGCAGUGGGGAAUAUUGCACAAUGGGCGCAAGCCUGAUGCAGCAACGCCGCGUGAGGGACGACGGCCUUCGGGUUGUAAACCUCUUUUAGUAGGGAAGAAGCGAAAGUGACGGUACCUGCAGAAAAAGCACCGGCUAACUACGUG
rnacentral:rRNA from 1 species